rnacentral:rRNA from 1 species
GACGUAGGGUGCGAGCGUUGUCCGGAUUUAUUGGGCGUAAAGCGCUCGCAGGUGGUCCGUCGCGUCGUGCGUGAAAUACCCCGGCUCAACUGGGGGGGGUCGUGCGAUACGGGCGGACUGGAGGCCAGUAGGGGGAUGCGGAAUUCCGGGUGUAGUGGUGGAAUGCGUAGAGAUCCGGAGGAACACCAGCGGCGAAGGCGGCAUCCUGGACUGGUCCUGACACUCAGGAGCGAAAGCGUGGGGAGCGAUCCGG